UACGGAGGGGGCUAGCGUUGUUCGGAAUUACUGGGCGUAAAGCGCACGUAGGCGGCUUUGUAAGUUAGAGGUGAAAGCCCGGGGCUCAACCCCGGAAUUGCCUUUAAGACUGCAUCGCUUGAACGUCGGAGAGGUGAGUGGAAUUCCGAGUGUAGAGGUGAAAUUCGUAGAUAUUCGGAAGAACACCAGUGGCGAAGGCGGCUCACUGGCCCGGUACUGACGCUGAGAUACGAAAGCGUGGGGAGCAAAACAGG
rnacentral:rRNA from 1 species